rnacentral:rRNA from 1 species
GACGAACGCUGGCGGCGUGCUUAACACAUGCAAGUCGAACGGAAAGGCCCUGCUUUUGUGGGGUGCUCGAGUGGCGAACGGGUGAGUAACACGUGAGUAACCUGCCCUUGACUUUGGGAUAACUUCAGGAAACUGGGGCUCAUACCGGAUAGGAGCUCCUGCUGCAUGGUGGGGGUUGGAAAGUUUCGGCGGUUGGGGAUGGACUCGCGGCUUAUCAGCUUGUUGGUGGGGUAGUGGCUUACCAAGGCUUUGACGGGUAGCCGGCCUGAGAGGGUGACCGGCCACAUUGGGACUGAGAUACGGCCCAGACUCCUACGGGAGGCAGCAGGGGGGAAUAUGGCACAAUGGGCGGAAGCCUGAUGCAGCAACGCCGCGUGCGGGAUGACGGCCUUCGGGUUGUAAACCGCUUUCGCCUGUGACGAAGCGGGAGUGACGGUAAUGGGUAAAGAAGCACCGGCUAACUACGUG